rnacentral:lncRNA from 1 species
AUCAGUGAAAUUCUGGGAAUCAGAAAAAGCAGUAGCCAGCAUGAGGAAGGUGGGGACGUCUCCUGUAGCGUGUACCACGAGCACCAGUGUUCCUGUGUCAAGGCCUGGGGACAGACUGAACCCUGCCCAACCUCCAUCUCCUGCCUGACCUUUCACCCCAGCCUAUCAACCAGACACAACCCAAACCUUCCAGGGUCUCCAUGUCAUUACAGCUGAGUGGAGACACAAACUGCUCAUAUCAGCUCUACAAAGAAGAGAUCAUCCCAGCGUUGUCAAAAACAAGACUUCACAAAUGGAGG